UUGCUCGCUUUGGCAGCACGUAGACUGAAAUUGGAACGAUACAGAGAAGAUGAGCAUGGCCCCGGCGCGAGGAUGCCAUGCACAUCCGUGAAGCGUUCCAUAUAAAA